UAACGCGUGGAGAACCUGCCGUAUACUGGGGGAUAACACUUAGAAAUGGGUGCUAAUACCGCAUAAGCGCACAGCUUCGCAUGAAGCAGUGUGGAAAACAAAAAGCUAAAGCUUUUGGUGGUAUACGAUGGAUCCGCGUCUGAUUAGCUUGUUGGCGGGGUAAAGGCCCACCAAGGCGACGAUCAGUAGCCGGCCUGAGAGGGUGAACGGCCACAUUGGGACUGAGACACGGCCCAAACUCCUACGGGAGGCAGCAG
rnacentral:rRNA from 1 species